CUGCAGCCCGAGUGGUGAUCGAUUUUAUUGAGCCUAAAGCGUCCGUAGCCGGACUAGUAAACCCUUGGGUAAAUUGGGCAGCUUAACUGUCCAAAUUCCGAGGGGACUGCUAGUCUUGGGACCGGGAGAGGUCAGAGGUACUCAAGGGGUAGGGGCUAAAUCCUGUAAUCCUUUGGGGACCACCAGUGGUGAAGGCGUCUGACUAGGACGGAUCCGACGGUAAGGGACGAAACCCUGGGGCGCGAACCGGAUUAGAUACCCGAGUAGUCC
rnacentral:rRNA from 1 species